CCUACGGGUGGCAGCAGUGGGGAAUAUUGGACAAUGGGGGCAACUCUGAUCCAGCGACGCCGCGUGCGUGAAGAAGUCUUUAGGUAUGUAAAGCUCUAUUAGCAGGGAAGAAAAUGCCGAUACCUGACUAAGAAGCCCCGGCUAACUCCGUGCCAGCAGCCGUGGUAAUACGGAGGGGGCAAGCGUUAUCCGGAUUUACUGGGUGUAAAGGGAGCGUAGUCGGUGUAGCAAGUCUGAUGUGAAAGGUCGGGGCCCAACCCCGGGACUGCAUUUGAGACUGUUGAACUGGAGAACAGGAGAGGUAAGCGGAAUGCAUAGUGUAGCGGUGAAAUGCGUAGAGAUUAGACGGAACACCAGUGGCGAAGGCAGCUUACUGAGCUGUAACUGACGUUGAGGCUCGAAAGCGUGGGGAGCAAACAGGAUUAGAUACCCUUGUAGUC
rnacentral:rRNA from 1 species